CCUACGGGGUGCAGCAGUGGGGAAUAUUGGGCAAUGGGCGCAAGCCUGACCCAGCAACGCCGCGUGAAGGAAGAAGGCUUUCGGGUUGUAAACUUCUUUUGUCAGGGACGAAGCAAGUGACGGUACCUGACGAAUAAGCCACGGCUAACUACGUGCCAGCAGCCGCGGUAAUACGUAGGUGGCAAGCGUUAUUCGGAUUUACUGGGUGUAAGGGGCGGGUAGGCGGGACUGCAAGUCAGAUGUGAAAACCACGGGCUCAACCUGUGGCCUGCAUUUGAAACUGUAGUUCUUGAGUACUGGAGAGGCAGACGGAAUUCCUAGUGUAGCGGUGAAAUGCGGAGAUAUUAGGAGGAACACCAGUGGCGAAGGCGGUCUGCUGGACAGCAACUGACGCUGAGGCGCGAAAGCGUGGGGAGCAAACAGGAUUAGAUACCCCAGUAGUC
rnacentral:rRNA from 1 species